UACGUAGGGCGCAAGCGUUGUCCGGAAUUAUUGGGCGUAAAGAGCUCGUAGGCGGCUUGUCACGUCGGAUGUGAAAGCCUGAGGCUUAACCUCGGGUCUGCAUUCGAUACGGGCAGGCUAGAGUUCGGUAGGGGAGAUCGGAAUUCCUGGUGUAGCGGUGAAAUGCGCAGAUAUCAGGAGGAACACCGGUGGCGAAGGCGGGUCUCUGGGCCGAUGACUGACGCUGAGGAGCGAAAGCGUGGGGAGCGAACAGG
rnacentral:rRNA from 1 species